rnacentral:rRNA from 1 species
UACGUAGGGUGCAGGCGUUAAUCGGAAUUACUGGGCGUAAAGCGUGCGCAGGCGGUUUCUUAAGUCAGAUGUGAAAGCCCCGGGCUUAACCUGGGAACUGCGUUUGAAACUACAAGGCUAGAGUGUGGCAGAGGGGGGUGGAAUUCCACGUGUAGCAGUGAAAUGCGUAGAGAUGUGGAGGAACACCGAUGGCGAAGGCAGCCCCCUGGGUCAAGAUUGACGCUCAUGCACGAAAGCGUGGGGAGCAAACAGG